rnacentral:lncRNA from 1 species
UUUUUUUAGGAUUUGGAGGUUGGAGCUGUGAUUGAGAGAAUCAGCACUCUAGACCGUGCUUCUAGAGCUUCUUCAGUGACUUCAGACCUUCCUACUCUUACCAAACAGAAAUUGCCCUUGCUCUCCACAGGGACUCUGAGCUCCUGAAUUGCCAGCCUGGUCUUCUUUGGAAGGUGAGCCUCUUAUCUCUAACUGUGAAGUCUCCUUCAGGGAAGAGGUAUAAGGAGCAUUCUGGUUCUUCC